UACGAAGGAUGCAAGCGUUAUCCGGAUUCAUUGGGUUUAAAGGGAGCGUAGGCGGUCUUGUAAGUCAGUGGUGAAAUCUCGAGGCUUAACCUCGAAAUUGCCAUUGAUACUGCAGGACUUGAGUACAGUUGCCGUUGGCGGAAUAUGACAUGUAGUGGUGAAAUACAUAGAGAUGUCAUAGAACACCGAUUGCGAAGGCAGCUAACGAAACUGUAACUGACGCUGAGGCUCGAAAGUGUGGGGAUCAAACAGG
rnacentral:rRNA from 1 species